GAUGAAGAACGCAGCGAAAUGCGAUAAGUAAUGUGAAUUGCAGAAUUCAGUGAAUCAUCGAAUCUUUGAACGCACAUUGCGCCCGGUAGUAUUCUGCCGGGCAUGCCUGUUCGAGCGUCAUUUCAACCAUCAAGCCCCAGCGCUUGUGUUGGGGGCCUGCGGCUGCCGCAGCCCCCUAAAAGCAGUGGCGGGCUCGCUAUCACACCGAGUGCAGUAGUUCACCUUCUCUCCGGUCUUGUGAGGCGGGUUCCGGCCGUGAAACACCCCACUACAUUCAAGGUUGACCUCGGAUCAGGUAGGAAUACCCGCUGAACUUAAGCAUAUCAAUAAGCGGAGGA
rnacentral:misc_RNA from 1 species